rnacentral:rRNA from 1 species
UACAGAGGUCCCAAGCGUUGUUCGGAUUCAUUGGGCGUAAAGGGUGCGUAGGCGGCGCGGUAAGUCGGGUGUGAAAUCUCGGAGCUUAACUCCGAAACUGCAUUCGAUACUGCCGUGCUUGAGGACUGGAGAGGAGACUGGAAUUUACGGUGUAGCGGUGAAAUGCGUAGAUAUCGUAAGGAAGACCAGUGGCGAAGGCGGGUCUCUGGACAGUUCCUGACGCUGAGGCACGAAGGCCAGGGGAGCAAACGGGAUUAG